UAGGAUAACCCAAUAACGUUAAACAAUAUGAGUGUGAUGGUGUCGAUAACUUCAGUCAUUUAGUAAGGGUAUUGUCAUUCAUUAGUAACUCUGGUGUCUGCUGGCACUACUCUGCUGACUGGCUCAGCUGUCUGUCUGCUGGUUCAGGCUCUGCUGGCUCUGGCUCUGCUGGCUCUGGCUCUGGCUCUGCUGCCUGCUACAUUAUGGCUACUGUACCAAGGAUUUGUCAGGCUCUCAAGUUGGAAGCACCUCUGUUUCGCAUCAGCCUACAAAAGUUUUGUUCAGAUGCCUCAAAGCCUCCGAAAGCAACUAAAGCAUCCAAGGUGCCUCAGAGUGUAGAGACCCCGAAAGCUGCCACUCCGAAAGCUGCCACUCCGAAAGCUGCCACUCCGAAAGCUGCUGCCCCAAAAGCUGCCAUCCCAAAGGCUUCAGCUGCAGAAUCUGUGAUACCAAAGGCUCCAGAUAUUCAUGAAUACAAAUCAGCAGCCACACCAUCUGAUCCUGGCCACUCUGUUGGUCCUGGAGCACUCAAGAGUGGAGACUACCCAAACACAGAAUAUUUUUGCUAUGAGAAAAUGAGUUUUUAUGACUUAGAAGUGGAGAUGGCACCUCACCGUCUUCCACAACCUUCAGCUAACAAUGGACGUCUUUGAAUCAGUUAAAUGAUUACAUAUUGCAUGGACCAAGCUGAGGUCCAGCAUAGAUAUGAACUAGCAUCUUGGCUAAUUCCUCAGUCACCACACAAGCAACACCUCAAAGGUUAUUCUUCAGAGGAACCAUAUAGUGGACUUUCCAUAGAAGUCAACAUCAUCACUUGUCAAACAUACCAAUCAUCAAGAGAAACUCAAGACUUAUCGCCACAGAAGACAACACUCAAUACCGAAGAAUCCUGGAAUCAUCGCUUAUCUCUAUAACCAACAAUUUCAACCAGAACAACGGCUUCUAUAACAUAGCUGAACCACUUGCCAAGAAACUUCUUCAUCGCUAUCUCACAUAAGAACAUAGAACACUGCAGAAGGUCUUCUCACAACUUGUCCAAUACCCCUGCCAAGCUACCCAAGACUCUAUAACUCCACCCGGUAGAUCAUCAGAUGCAGCAUUCUCCACCUGACCUCAACAUUCUGAACAUGACUAUAAAUACUCCCGUACCUUCCACCCCAGGUAGAUCUGUGUGAGACUUGAAAAAAGCCCAAUGUGUGGGUGAAACGUUGUCAAUAAAGGAUCACAUUAUACUG